rnacentral:rRNA from 1 species
UACAGAGGUCCCAAGCGUUGUUCGGAUUCACUGGGCGUAAAGGGUGCGUAGGUGGUUAGGUAAGUCCGGUGUGAAAUCUCCAGGCUCAACCUGGAAAUGGCAUUGGAUACUAUCUAGCUUGAGGAGUGGAGGGGGGACUGGAAUUCUCGGUGUAGCAGUGAAAUGCGCAGAUAUCAGGAGGAACACCAAUGGCGAAGGCAGCUCGCUGGGACGGUACUGACGCUGAGACGCGAAAGCGUGGGGAGCAAACAGG